rnacentral:rRNA from 1 species
AACCGACCUGGCUCACACCGGUUUAAACUCAGAUCAUGUAAAAUUUUAAAGGUCGAACAGACCUAAUUUUCUAGCAACUACACCAGCAAUUAAUUUUAAUCCAACAUCGAGGUCGCAAACUUUUCUUUCGAUAAGAACUCUAAAAAAAAUUACGCUGUUAUCCCUAAGGUAAUUUAAUCUUUAAAUCUUAAACUUAGGAUCUAAUUCUCAUAAAUUAAUGUUUAUAUAAAAGAAAAGUUUAAUUAAUUUUCCUAUCACCCCAACAAAACACAAUAGUAGAUUAAUAAAUUUUAAUCUUAAACUUUUUAAACUACUGAUUAUGUAAAACUCUAUAGGGUCUUCUCGUCUUCUAUUUAUAUCUAAGCCUUUUCUCUUAAAAAUAAUAUUCUAAUAAACUUCUCUAGAGACAGUAUUCUUUUCAUUAAACCCUUCAUACAAGCUUUCUAUUAAAAAACUAAUGAUUAUGCUACCUUUGUACGGUCAAUAUACCGCAGCCAUUUAAUUUAUCAUU